UUGAGGGCUUGUGGCAAAAAGAGCAAAAAGGAAAAACAGCGAGAAAAAAGAGAAAAAAGAAGGAAAAAAUGGUGCUCAAUGGACAAGAAAAUUUCGACAAACUUAUGGUAUAGUUAAGGCGACAUGAACAAUGGAGAUGUGGGAGAUAUGGAGAGAUAGGACAAGAUGGGGUUGAGAGUGAAAAGAGGAUAUCAAUUAAAGUGGGAAUAAAUGGGAAUAAAUGGAAUAAAUGGGAAUAAAUGGGAAUAAAUGGAAAUAAAUGGGAAUA
rnacentral:misc_RNA from 1 species